AUGGCAGACUUCAAGGUUGGAAGCCUUGAUGCCCGAGCAACAAAGUUCAGAACCGUCCCAAUUGCUGUUACCCCGGAAGGGUUCUGGUGCUGCCCAUCACAGACCGUGCUCCAGAAGACAGUGAAGAACCAAAACCAGCAGACAAGGCCCAAAGUGGGUGCAUCCCCUCCUGCGUCAAAGGCCUCCUCGGUCCAGAGGGCGCCGACUAUCUCGUCGGAGAGGAGAACACAUUCGACUCCAACAAGGUCCAGAGCUAAUUCAGACGAGCAAAGAUGCCCGGCGGCGGCGGACAAUGCCACGUCCAAUCCACCGAAGGCGGCGAGCGAGAGGCUACCGAAGCAGCAUAAGAUAUCUGUUGGUUUUGGUCAGAUUGAGAUGAGUGACUUGAGAGUUGUGCUGUAUGGCAAGGAUGGUGUUGCUGUAAAGAUGAGUGUGCACAAGAACAUCCUUGCUGAAAAUAGCACCUUCUUUGCCGAUAAGCUGUCAAGGCAAUCUCCAGUGUCCAGCAUAGAAGUGCCUGAUUGUGAAGAUGUGGAGAUUUAUGUUGAGACUGUUGGCUUGAUGUACUGCAAUGAUGUCAAGCAGAGGUUGAUCAAGAAAAGUGUUCCACGCGUACUUCGGAUCUUGAAGGUUGCAGAACAUUUGGGUUUCCGAGCAUGUGUUCUGUCAUGCUUGAAUUACUUGGAAGCGGUCCCUUGGGCCGGGGAAGAAGAGGAGAAUGUGGUCUCAUCUGUUCGGCAUCUUCAGACCGAGGAUUACGGUGUCACCCCAAUACUGAAGAGGGUAUGCUCUGACCUAACGAGCCCACCAAAUGACACGUUUGUGCGUAUCAUAGAACUAGUUUUGAAAAGCAGUGAUGACAGAGGGAGGCGCGAGAUGAAGUCCUUGGUGCUCAAGCUUCUCAAGGAGAGCAGCAGCAGCUGUGCCAGUAGCUCUGCUGACCUAUGUGUUGAGACCCUCUACAGCUAUUGCCAGAAUUGCCUGGAGUCUCUGCUGACCCUGUUUCAACAAGCAUCUGACAGUGGUUUCUCUGAGCAGUCUUUGGAGCUUAAGGAACCGGUUCUUCGGCAGAUUACUCUCGAAGCGGAUAAUCUGUUAUGGUUAACCGAGAUUUUGGCUGGCAGGAAUGCUGCAGAAGAAUUUGCAGGCUUGUGGUCUAACCAACGUGAGCUGGCUGGGCUUCAUUCCAAGCUACCGACCAAGUCGCGCCACCUUGUGAGCUGCGUCACUGCCAGGCUCUUUGUGGCGAUUGGGAAAGGCGAAAUGCUCCCGUCCAAGGACACCAGGCAGCUCCUCCUGGAUGUCUGGCUGCAGCCUCUCAUGGAUGACUACAACUGGCUGCAGCACGGUUGCAGGUCGUUCGACCGGACCGUCGUCGAGGAAGGGAUCGGGUCGACCAUCCUGACGCUGCCGCUGGAGGAUCAGCAGACGAUACUGCUCUCGUGGCUCGGGAGCUUCCUCAAGGUUGGGAACAGCUGCCCCAACCUGCAGAAGGCCUUUGAGGUGUGGUGGAGGAGGACCUUUGUGCGGCCUUACGUCGAACAGCAGGGGAGCCGGUCGCAGUCGGGUCGGAGUUGA
rnacentral:rRNA from 1 species